UACGUAGGGGGCAAGCGUUGUCCGGAUUUAUUGGGCGUAAAGCGCUCGCAGGUGGUUCGAUGCGUCGUGCGUGAAAGACCCCGGCUCAACUGGGGGGGUGUCGUGCGAUACGGUCGGACUGGAGGCCAGUAGGGGGGAUGCGGAAUUCCAGGUGUAGCGGUGAAAUGCGUAGAUAUCUGGAGGAACACCGGUGGCGAAGGCGGCAUCCUGGACCAAUAUUGACGCUGAGGAGCGAAAGCCAGGGGAGCAAACGGG
rnacentral:rRNA from 1 species